CAGCCGCCGCGGGAAAACGUAGGGUGCAAGCGUUAAUCGGAAUUACUGGGCGUAAAGCGUGCGCAGGCGGUGUUGUAAGACUGAUGUGAAAUCCCCGGGCUCAACCUGGGAACUGCAUUGGUGACUGCAACGCUGGAGUGCGGCAGAGGGGGAUGGAAUUCCGCGUGUAGCAGUGAAAUGCGUAGAUAUGCGGAGGAACACCGAUGGCGAAGGCAAUCCCCUGGGCCUGCACUGACGCUCAUGCACGAAAGCGUGGGGAGCAAACAGGAUUAGAUACCCGCGUAGUCCCUGUCUCUUAUAC
rnacentral:rRNA from 1 species